rnacentral:misc_RNA from 1 species
AAAUGGUAGAAAUUCUGGGAUCUAAUCUGCCAGACUUUUCAAAGAAUGAUUUGAGCAAGUUGAGUUAUGGCCUAGAUUUCAUUGGCAUCAAUUACUAUACGGCUAAAUAUAUCAAAGAUUGCUUAUAUUCUGCCUGUGAACAUGGAAACACUUGGUCAGAGGGUUCCUUUUUUGAGACGAGAGAAAAAGACGGUGUCUACAUUGGUCAACCUACUGAAGUGGACUGGCUCUUUCUGUACCCACAAGGGAUGAAAAAAAUUGUGAUGUACAUGAAGGACAGAUUCAACAAUACUCCUAUGGUUAUCACCGAAAAUGGCAUUGCUGAGAAUGAUAAUCUGAAUCCUUCAAUAACAGACACCUUGAACGAUAUUCAUAGAGUGAACUAUAUGCAUAGCUACUUAAAUUCAUUGGCAAAUGCAAUCACGGAUGGUGCAGAUGUGAGAGGGUACUUUGUUUGGUCCCUUCUCGACAACUUUGAGUGGCUAGAUGGAUAUAAGUUAAGAUUUGGACUUCACUAUGUCAACUAUACUAAUCUUCAGAGAACCCCAAAAUUAUCAGCUACCAUGUAUAAACAGCUCAUGUAUAACUUCAACAUACAACUCGAAAAAAAUACUGCCCAGAACUAGUAGGAGAAGAUGAUGGAAAGUAAAUAUUAUUUUCACUCCAGUGGGACUGUAAUCAUUUAAACAAGAUUUG